rnacentral:lncRNA from 7 species
UGUACCGCCGUUGGGGGGCCCACUUGGCAGAACAGGUCCGGCCGCGGUGCCUGGAUCAAAUGCACGAUAGAAUGGAGGGCUUUAAUCACAGAACGACAGAAUGAACGGCUGAGAUCACAGAACGGCAGAAUGGACGGCUGAGAUCACAGAAUGGCAGAACGGCAGGCUACCCUUACCGUCUUAAUAAGUAGUAGAGAUUUGAGACACCAGUUUGAGCUAUUGUUGGAGAUGCUCUAAAGACCUGUAAUUGGGUAACACGGAUAAAAUGAUAGUACCUUCUUCUCUUGUUGUUGCAUGUGAAAAAAGUAAGAGAAGGGUAAAAACGAUAACGUAAACGCGUAGAAAUAAUACAUGAAAGAACAAGCCAGGAAAAUAACACAUUUGUCAAUUUU